rnacentral:rRNA from 1 species
GACGAACGCUGGCGGCGUGCUUAACACAUGCAAGUCGAGCGAUGAAGCACCUUCGGGUGUGAAUUAGCGGCGAACGGGUGAGGAACACGUGAAGAGUCUGCCUUCAACUCUGGGAUAACUCCGGGAAACCGGGGCUAAUACCGGAUAUGAGCCUUGAUCGCAUGAACGAGGCUGGAAAGUUUUUCGGUGGAAGAUGACUUCGCGGCCAAUCAGCUUGUUGGUGAGGUAAUGGCUCACCAAGGCGACGACGGGUAGCCGGCCUGAGAGGGCGACCGGCCACACUGGGACUGAGACACGGCCCAGACUCCUACGGGAGGCAGCAGUGGGGAAUAUUGGGCAAUGGAGGAAACUCUGACCCAGCGACGCCGCGUGAGGGAUGAAGGCCUUCGGGUUGUAAACCUCUUUCAGUAGGGAAGAAGCGAAAGUGACGGUACCUACAGAAGAAGCACCGGCUAACUAUGUGCCAGCCGCCGCAGUAA